rnacentral:lncRNA from 1 species
GCUGAAAUGACAAUAAAAACCACUUUGACUUUGACUUUGAUAUACUGUUAUAUAUAUUUGAGUGUGUGUAUAUAUGUGUGUGUGUAUGUGUGUGUGUGUGUGUGUUCUGGAACAGUCCGGAGUGUGAGAACGUGGCGGUGGUUCAGCAGGAGCUGAUGUGUGUUUGUUUUAAGGGAAGAAAUCUCGGUCAGGUUGUUACAGGAACCCGACGGUUCAGCCCAGCGUUCCUGCAGAGAGUAAACAGGGCGAGGCAGAACCAACACACACCUGAUACUGUUCAUCUCCCAGCAUUCACUGCACAUCACUCUCGCGCACUCUCUCUCACACAUUCACUUUCACUCUCACUCUCUCACACACAUUCACUUUCCCUAUCUCACUCUCUCUCUCUUUCGCUUUCUCUCUCUCUCACUUACUCUCACACAUUCACUUUCACUCCCACUCUCUCUCACACAUUCCCUUUCCCUAUCUCACUCUCUCACACACAUUCACUUUCCCUAUCUCACUCUCUCUCAUACAUUCACUUUCCCUUUCUCACUCUCUCUCUCUUUCGCUUUCUCUCUCUCUCACUUACUCUCACACAUUCACUUUCCCUAUCUCUCUCUCUCUCUUCUCUCUCUCUCUCGCUAUCUCACUCUCUCUCUCACACAUUCACUUUCACUCUCUCUCUCUUACUCACUCUCACACAUGCACUUUCCCUAUCUCACUUUCUCACACAUUCACUUUCCCUAUCUCACUCUCUCAUACAUUCACUUUCCCUAUCUCACUCUCUCUCUCGCUCGCUUUCUCUCUCUCUCCCUCAUUCUCACACAUUUACUUUCCCUAUCUCACUCUCACACAUUCACUUUUCCUAUCUCACUCUUUCACUUACACAUUCACUUCUCUCUCUCACACAUUCACUGCAGAUCACUCUUGCUCACUUGCUUUCUCUUUCACUCUCUCACACAUUCACUUUCGCUAUCUCACUCUCUCUCUCACUAUCUCACUCUUUCUCUCUCACACAUUCACUUUUCCUUUCACUCUCUCACACUCUCGCUCUCUCACAUACAUUCACUUUCUCUAUCUCACUCCCUCUCUCACUCGCUUUCUCUCUCUCACUCGCUCUCACACAUUCACUUUCCCUAUCUCACUCUCUCUCGCUCUUUCUCUUUCUCUCCCUCUCGUGCUUUCUCUCCCUCUUUCGCUUUCUCUCUCUUGCUCUCUCUUUUUUAUCUGCCUCUCUUGCUUUCUCUUUUCUCAUGGUUUAUUUUGAUUUCUCUCCCUCUCUCGCUUUCUCUUUCUCACUCUCUCUUUUUCUCUGCCUUUCUAUCUUUCUCUCUCAUUUUCUCUCCCUCUCUCUAGCUCUCUCUCUCUCUUCCUCUCCCUCUCUUGUUUUCUCUCCUUCUCUCUCCCUCGCUCUCUCUCCC